GAUGAACGCUGGCGGCGUGCCUAAUACAUGCAAGUCGAGCGAACGGACGAGAAGCUUGCUUCUCUGAUGUUAGCGGCGGACGGGUGAGUAACACGUGGAUAACCUACCUAUAAGACUGGGAUAACUUCGGGAAACCGGAGCUAAUACCGGAUAAUAUUUUGAACCGCAUGGUUCAAAAGUGAAAGACGGUCUUGCUGUCACUUAUAGAUGGAUCCGCGCUGCAUUAGCUAGUUGGUAAGGUAACGGCUUACCAAGGCAACGAUGCAUAGCCGACCUGAGAGGGUGAUCAGCCACACUGGAACUGAGACAAGGUCCAGACUCCUACGGGAGGCAGCAGUAGGGAAUCUUCCGCAAGGAGCGAAAGCCUGACGGAGCAACGCCGCGUGAGUGAUGAAGGUCUUCGGAUCGUAAAACUCUGUUAUUAGGGAAGAACAUAUGUGUAAGUAACUGUGCACAUCUUGACGGUACCUAAUCAGAAAGCCACGGCUAACUACGUG
rnacentral:rRNA from 1 species